rnacentral:rRNA from 1 species
CCUACGGGGGGCUGCAGUGGGGAAUAUUGGACAAUGGGGGGAACCCUGAUCCAGCCAUGCCGCGUGUGUGAAGAAGGCCCUCGGGUUGUAAAGCACUUUCAGUGAGGAAGAACGCCUGGUGGUUAAUACCCAUCAGGAAAGACAUCACUCACAGAAGAAGCACCGGCUAACUCCGUGCCAGCAGCCGCGGUAAUACGGAGGGUGCGAGCGUUAAUCGGAAUUACUGGGCGUGAAGCGCGCGUAGGUGGCUUGAUAAGCCGGUUGUGAAAGCCCCGGGCUCAACCUGGGAACGGCAUCCGGAACUGUCAAGCUAGAGUGCAGGAGAGGAAGGUAGAAUUCCCGGUGUAGCGGUGAAAUGCGUAGAGAUCGGGAGGAAUACCAGUGGCGAAGGCGGCCUUCUGGACUGACACUGACACUGAGGUGCGAAAGCGUGGGUAGCAAACAGGAUUAGAUACCCCUGUAGUC